rnacentral:tRNA from 1 species
AUCUGUUUGGAGUUGUGGUUAGUGUGCUCGGCUGUGGAUCUGGGCGAUGCGGGUUCGAUUCCCCUACCAGAUG